AGCGAAUGAUAAUGGCUUUUGAAGAACUUUGCGUACAAGCUGAGAAUUCUAGACAAGAAGCUUAUGUCCAGCUGAAAGAAGAAGCAGAAAAAAGGCAGAAACUAGAUGAUGAAUACAGUAGUGAAAUGAACAGAAUUAAACAUCAGAUAUCACAACUGACAAAUGAGAAAGAAGAUGGGGAAACAAA